AUAACCUAAGUUCUUAAGCGAGUUAUCAUAAAUUCCGGAUAACUUUAUAUUAUUUCUUUGUUGGUGUUUUGAUUGCUUCGCAUUUUGAACAAUUUGCAUAUGAAGGAUAGUUUCUUACAAGCCGUUGUCAUAACAAUAUUUUGGACUGCAUUUUAGACUUAGAAAGAAAGAAUUUUAAAUAUUUCGCGCCAGUCCAGACAGGAUAUGCUAAUGCAGCGCCCCCCCUUGUGUCAAUUUCGGUAACGUUAAGAUAGUCUCAUUACCAGAUAAAGUAAAUGUACAGGCCUGACGCUAGAAGCUGGCGGAAAUUUUAAAAUGGCGUGGAUGCGC